rnacentral:rRNA from 1 species
ACGGCCGCGGUAUUUUGACCGUGCAAAGGUAGCGUAAUCACCUGUCUUUUAAAUAAAGACCUGUAUGAAUGGCAAGACGAGGGUUUUACUGUCUCCUCCCCCCAGUCAAUGAAAUUGAUCUACCCGUGCAGAAGCGGGUAUAAAAACAUAAGACGAGAAGACCCUAUGGAGCUUUAGGCAUAUAUCAAAUAUGUAAAAAACCAAAUUUUUCCAAAUAGGCCUAAAAAAUGAGAAAAACAAGUAUUAAUGAUUAAGUGCCUUCGGUUGGGGCGACCACGGGGAAAAAUAAAACCCCCACAUGGAAUGGGAAAAAUAACCCUAAGCCAAGAAAAACACUUCUAAGCAACAAAAUUUUUGACCAAUAAACGACCCAGGGACACCAUCCCUGAGCAAUGAACCAAGUUACCCUAGGGAUAACAGCGCAAUCCUUUCCCAGAGCCCAUAUCAACGAAAGGGUUUACGACCUCGAUGUUGGAUCAGGGCAUCCUAACGGUGCAGCCGCUGUUAAGGGUUCGUUUGUUCAACGAU